AUUGAACGCUGGCGGCAUGCCUUACACAUGCAAGUCGAACGGUAACGCGGGGCAACCUGGCGACGAGUGGCGAACGGGUGAGUAAUGUAUCGGAACGUGCCCAGUAGCGGGGGAUAGCCCGGCGAAAGCCGGAUUAAUACCGCAUACGACCUACGGGUGAAAGCGGGGGAUCGCAAGACCUCGCGCUAUUGGAGCGGCCGAUAUCAGAUUAGGUAGUUGGUGGGGUAAAGGCCUACCAAGCCUACGAUCUGUAGCUGGUCUGAGAGGACGACCAGCCACACUGGGACUGAGACACGGCCCAGACUCCGACGGGAGGCAGCAGUGGGGAAUUUUGGACAAUGGGCGCAAGCCUGAUCCAGCCAUGCCGCGUGCGGGAAGAAGGCCUUCGGGUUGUAAACCGCUUUUGUCAGGGAAGAAACGCUCCGGGCUAAUACCCUGGGGUAAUGACGGUACCUGAAGAAUAAGCACCGGCUAACUACGUGCCAGCAGCCGCGGUAAAAC
rnacentral:rRNA from 1 species